GGGGAAAUAGCUUAGUGGCAGAGCAUCUUCUUUGCAUGCAGAAGGUCUCAGGUUCAGUCCCCAGCAUCUCCA